AUAUUAGGCAUAUUUGCUGGGUCCAGUUUAACUUCCCUGUGGAAGCGAAGUGACUCAUUGAAAAUCUUUUACACAUUGACUGACUUUUAUUUCAAUGCAAUUCACAUUGGCGAGAAAUUAAAGCAAUAACCUAUGUACUGUUAAUCCUGGUUUGUGGUGCCUUAUUACACAGCACAACAUUUACAUUUUAGUUGGUACACACUGGUUUUCCCCUAUGAUGUUACUUGAAUGAAUUUAUUGGUCUGCUUUCUGGCACAUGCUCUCUUCCUGGAUAACUGCCUUUAUUUUAAGAUCAGGCAACUUGUUUCCAGUAACUACUAUACUAAUUGUGUUGACAAUGUAAGACUGAUUUCAAGUACUUCUAUCUAGAAUUUAACAUCUGUGAACUUGUUUUCAGGCCAUAAACACUAUCCAGAGACUGGUUGUAAGUAUUUUUAUCUAGAAUUUAGCAUCUGUGAACUUAAUAUUAGACCAAGGAUACUAAUCAGAGACUGGUUAUAAGUAUAAUUAUCUAGAAUUUAGCAUCUGUGUGAACUUAUUAUUAGACCAAGGAUACUAAUCAGAGACUGGUUAUAAGUAUAAUUAUCUAGAAUUUAGCAUUUGUGAACUUAUUAUUAGACCAAGGAUACUAAUCAGAGACUGGUUAUAAGUAUAAUUAUCUAGAAUUUAGCAUCUGUGAACUUAUUAUUAGACCAAGAACACUUACCAGAGACUGCUUAAUUCUAGUCUAGAGGCAGCUUAUUUUAAGACAACUUGUCAAGAAAAGUUAACUUCAGAUAAUUGACAGAUAAUUUCACUACUUUUAAGCCAUUUUCUGAUAGAUUUAAGUGUUUAUAUCUUGAAUUUUGACCAAGCUUUUUUGCAGUGUAUAGGUCAUUUUCAGGGAUGUUCACCAAGGCCAGAGGAAAGAGGCGCUUUCCCACCCCAACACUUGUCCCCAAGAAGUUGAAGCCAUUAGAGGUGGCUUUCUAUUUGCUUCCAAAGCAGUGUGAGAAGACCCAGAAGGAGGGGGACCAAAUUCUCCAUCUCCAAGCAGGGUUAGGCCGCAGGACUGCUCAUCUGGAUGAAGCUUCAAAUCACGAAGAGUUAUGUGAGGCCCUAAACAUUAUUUUUCCCAAACUGAGGAAUGUUUCCGGUGGGUGGCUGGUUUAUAAAGCUUCAGCUGGAUGGGGUUGCCGAAAAACCACGCUUGUGCCUCCUGAAGAUAGUGGCUAUUCAGGCAGGAUCCUAAAGUUUGCAAGUCGUAGGGUCAAAAAUCUCUUCAUAGCCCCAAUUCAGGAAGAACUGAGCAUAAGUCCCCUACAGUUGGAUGACGAGUCUUUCAGGAACAUGCCGAAAGCAGACUGUCAGAAGUGUGGACUACCAGUUCCGCUUCCAUUGAUGAUAUAGUCAUUGAAGAGAGAGAAAGUAAGAAUUAUUACCUCUCUCCAUCUGACCAGGCCCGUCAUGCACUCACUCUGCUUCUAAAUAUCUGGGCGGUAUGAAUGCCUAGUUUGAGUGCACCCUAAGAUAGCAUAUUAUAUAGCAUUUUUAAAACAAAAUAAUUCUGAAUCCUUUUGUUCUAAAAUAACACUGUUCUUGCUUGUAACUUCAAUUUCUCAACAGCAGAUAUGCAGGAAUGUUUGCACACAAAUAUUCCCAACAGAUUUUAUUGAGGCACACGCUUCGGCCUGCGAGGAGAGGCAUCCAUUUACUUGUUUGUCCUUUUUCUCUAACCAACUAUUGUCUUACUCUUUGUGCAAGUGUAAUACAAAAUAUUUGUAUGUGGCUAGUGCAGGGAAUGAAGUGAUGCAUGCAAGUAUGAUCAGUGAGGAAGAAGCAGCAAUACCUGGAACAUCCGGAAGAGAUAGAGAUAGAGAUGGAGGUGAGGAUGCUUAGGCCCGUGUUCUCUGAACGCCAUUCCCCUCUCUGCCCCAUUUAAUCUUUUUUUUCUUAUUAGGCUGGUUCACCAUUGCUGACCCCGCCAAGGCCAUAGCGCAGUGUGUGGAGAAUGAACUCAGCCUUCACAAGGAGGAGAAUCCAUUACAGCUAAGCAUGGACAUAAGAAGUAGUCCUACCGAACAGGACAUGGCCCUGAUCUCCUUUUACAAGCCGCCAAAUGUGGAAUGGGGACGACCCCUGAACAGCAGACUUGAAGGUUGCUCCAACAUCAAGUUUCAGUUGUCAAAUUAAUAAUUUCAAGUAUUUCCUUAUCUUUAUUCUGUCAAACUGUUUCACAGGAGAUACUGCUAUUUGCCAGGGUGUGACUCGCUUUUUUUUGUCCAUUGAAAAGCUGAAGUCUGGAUUUGCCAUACAUUUUGGUAUGUAUUUUAGGUGUAUGGCAUCCUUGUAAAUGCUCUUUUUGUUUAAUGACUUUCA